AUUGAACGCUGGCGGCAGGCCUAACACAUGCAAGUCGAACGGUAACAGGAAGCAGCUUGCUGCUUCGCUGACGAGUGGCGGACGGGUGAGUAAUGUCUGGGAAACUGCCUGAUGGAGGGGGAUAACUACUGGAAACGGUAGCUAAUACCGCAUAACGUCGCAAGACCAAAGAGGGGGACCUUAGGGCCUCUUGCCAUCGGAUGUGCCCAGAUGGGAUUAGCUAGUAGGUGGGGUAACGGCUCACCUAGGCGACGAUCCCUAGCUGGUCUGAGAGGAUGACCAGCCACACUGGAACUGAGACACGGUCCAGACUCCUACGGCAGGCAGCAGUGGGGAAUAUUGCACAAUGGGCGCAAGCCUGAUGCAGCCAUGCCGCGUGUAUGAAGAAGGCCUUCGGGUUGUAAAGUACUUUCAGCGGGGAGGAAGGGAGUAAAGUUAAUACCUUUGCUCAUUGACGUUACCCGCAGAAGAAGCACCGGCUAACUCCGUG
rnacentral:rRNA from 1 species